UUGCUAAAAAUAUCAUUAAUAAAAUCCAACUUCAGAAUUUCAAAAAAGGAUAAGGCAGCUCUGUUGGAUGUCUGUCUGUUUUUCGUGGCAUCAAAUUCUGGCUAUAAUGCAUUUUAUUAGUAAAAUUACGUUAUCAGGGCUUAAACUUUUUGUAGUCCAUGAAAACUUAAGAAACAAUAGACAAAAGCAUUUUCAAAGCAGAUUUAUAGAAGUUUAGCUAACAUUUAUGGUAUUUGAAAGAUGAAGUGUCUGUUAGGUCUUUAUUUGACGAUGAUGUCAAUCAAGAAACUAAAGUAAAAAUGUUAGCUAACUUAGCUAAUGAAACCUCAUCAGCUUACGAUAAACUAUACAUUGCAUCUAAAGAAGAACUUUGUGGCCCACUUAUUGGAAAAUAUUGACUUUGUCUCCGACAAAAACAAGUUUCUAUUUAAUCGAAUCAAAACUGAUGACAGUUUUCUUAAGAAGAGCCCUUUUUUAUAGCCAAAUGAUAAUUUGUUCCAACAAGCAAAAAGGAAACCAUUGACACUGAGAGCAGUUAAUGAUACGGCAAAAAGAACAGCUAAAUAAUGCUAGACUUUCAUUGUUUAAUCACUGUUGAAGAGAAGCAAAAACAAUUUUUAUUAAAUUGUGUGCAAGAACACAGAAACGCAUAUCCUGGUUGUAAAUAGUAAACUUUAAAAUAGAAAUUUAAUGAUUAA